rnacentral:lncRNA from 1 species
UCUAAGCCAAACAUAAUAAACUCUAGAUCUAAACAUUUUUAAAUAUGAGAAUCGAAGGAGGCCUAGCUUAUGUAACAUUCCCUAAGAUUAUUAACAGACAUCAAACAUAAAUGAUAAGCUUACAUCUUUGAUAUUUUGUUCCGCAUUUGUAAGAGCAAAGAAGGAAAAGUCGUUAAGAAUUAUGAAAUCUAUCUUUAUUGAUUCACAAUAACGAUUACAAAGAGUUGCAAUCAAAAUCUUGGGUUUUGCUUCGUUGUUGGAGAUCUCUUUAUGUUCUCAUCUUUGGUACAUUGUUCCUCUCUUUCUCUCGGAUGGAGAGGAGGCUUUCUUGCAUUCCCCUCUCAUAUAUAUAUAUAUAUAUAUAUAUAUAUUUAUUUAUUUAUUACCGGUCUUCCUCUUUAUUGAACCGUCUUUAACCAGCGUACCCUCCCAUAACUAUACUCUUCCUUACUCGCCCAAGUAUUACUAUAUAUGUUCUGCUGUGUAAGUCUUCUGACGACUUGAUCUUGGCAGUGGCCGUGAUACUCGUCACUAUUACACCUCGUGGAUAUGACUAUGGCUUGGUCGACCCCUUACCAUUUCUUUUAAUGAUAAUCCACUUGUGGUCAGAUUUUGACCCAUACAGUACUCAACUUACUGACGAAAAUGACAAGAAUAUAGGAGCAGCGGCAUACACAGAAAUUUUUGUAAUUGCUGUCAAUAUUUGAAGAAGUGAACAAGUAAAUUAAUUAGUAUAACGAUAAGUGUUGUCAAUUUCUAUAUUUAUACCCAAAUUUUUUAUCUGUUUCUACAUAUAUAUAUUUACGAAUAUUUUUGACGAAACGGUCAUAAAUAAGGUACCUACGCCCCUGUAUAUAAGUAUGCACCUUGUUUACUGUUGUUUUUUCAGAUUUUCUCUGCCGAAAUCCAACACAAAGUAUCAUACACAACAGCCCAUUUUUAACAUAAAAUCACACCCUUAAUCUUGAUUAGAGAAAAAAAGAAACAGAUAUAUAGAGAACCGUCAUCACCCUUUAAGUAAAAAAAAUAAAAGGGAUGAACAAAAAGUUGCAUUAGAUAUUACUAUGCCUAAUUAUUUCAACUUCAGAAAACUCACAACUUUGGGGAACAAAACACAAUUCUCUGUCCUAGAAGAAAACUCAUACAAAUCAGAAUCCUCAAAAUCCUCUUCUUCUAAUGUAGUUUCCAGCUGAGGAGAAACUGAAAUCUUAUUGGGUGCAAUUAGAACUGCUGGAACUCCAACUUCCAUACAAGAUUUUUGGUUCCCAGUAAACUUGGCCAUUUUUGCAAAAAGAGCAAGAAAGAGUCUAUGGAGACAAAUUCUAGAGAGGUGUUCAGUGUUCGGUCUUUGGCUAUUUUUCAGAAGAUUUGUUGGGUUU